UUGAAAUACACAGUCCCCACGAAAACGAGAAAUAGACUCGUCCGCCUUCGUCGUAGUGGAAGACGCAGUGGUGGGGCAGGUUCAUGUACACCUGAGAAGGUGUGAUAUCUGAGGCCAUGGAGAAGUUUCAAGUUAUGGAGGGUGGCGCGCAACCGCAGGCAUCAGGCAACCGGAUUUUACUCAUCUUGGUAGCAGUGAGUGCAAUCGUUUCCUUGGUGGCCCUCAUCAUAGCCGCAGUAGCUGUUUCCAGACCGGUUUCCUCCAACGUCACCGUUCAAAGUGGCCAACAGUCGACAGGGGGCAGCACAGGCAGUCAGACGUCAACCGGAAGUUCAGGAAGCAC